rnacentral:rRNA from 1 species
AAAAAAUGUAACAAGGUUUCCGUAGGUGAACCUGCGGAAGGAUCAUUG